rnacentral:rRNA from 1 species
UUCCAGACUCCUACGGGAGGCAGCAGUGGGGAAUAUUGCACAAUGGGGGAAACCCUGAUGCAGCGACGCCGCGUGAGCGAUGAAGUAUUUCGGUAUGUAAAGCUAUAUCAGCAGGGAAGAAAAUGACGGUACCUGACUAAGAAGCCCCGGCUAACUACGUGCCAGCAGCCGCGGUAAUACGUAGGGGGCAAGCGUUAUCCGGAUUUACUGGGUGUAAAGGGAGCGUAGACGGCUGUGCAAGCCAGAUGUGAAAGCCCGGGGCUCAACCCCGGGACUGCAUUUGGAACUGUGUGGCUGGAGUGUCGGAGAGGCAGGCGGAAUUCCUAGUGUAGCGGUGAAAUGCGUAGAUAUUAGGAGGAACACCAGUGGCGAAGGCGGCCUGCUGGACGAUGACUGACGUUGAGGCUCGAAAGCGUGGGGAGCAAACAGGAUUAGAUACCCGAGUA